rnacentral:rRNA from 1 species
GACAGAGGUGCCAAGCGUUAGGCGGAAUCACUGGGCUUAAAGCGCGUGUAGGUGGCGGCCUAAGUACCUUGUGAAAUCCUGCGGCUCAACCGCAGAACUGCUUGGUAUACUGGGUCGCUUGAGCCAUCCGAGGGGCAACUGGAAUUCUCGGUGUAGCGGUGAAAUGCGUAGAUAUCGAGAGGAACACCUGCGGCGAAGGCGGGUUGCGUGGGCCGACACUGACGCUGAUGCGCGAAAGCCAGGGGAGCGAAACGGG